rnacentral:rRNA from 1 species
AUGUUAACCGCGCUUUUGAAUGGUGAACUGAAAGAGGAGGUUUACGUCGCUCAACCCCUUGGAUUUGAGAUCAAAGGGCAUGAGCAAAAGGUUCUGAAGCUGCACAAAGCCCUCUAUAGCUUAAAGCAAGCGCCUAGAGCAUGGAAGGAGAAACUAGACAGAGCUUUGAUUGAUUUGGGAUUUGAGAAAUGUCCACUUGAGCAUGCAAUGUACAGAAGCGAAAAACUUGCUAUUGGAGUAUAUGUGGAUGAUCUUAUAAUCACAGGACCAAACUCAACUGAAAUAGAAAAAUUGAAGGAGCAAAUGAAGAACAUGUUCAGUAUGAGUGACUUGGGGCUCCUGAGUUAUUAUCUUGGCAUAGAAGUGAAGCAAUUGUCAAAUGGAUUUAUUCUGAAUCAAUCUAGUUAUGUGGGCAUGAUCUUAGAGAAAAGUGGGAUGAUUGACUGUUACUCUGCUCAAACCCCCAUGGAAGCCCGCCUGCACUUGAGCAAGUCCAGCAUCUGCAAGCCAGUUGAUCCAACAAUGUAUCGCAGUAUUAUUGGGAGCCUGAGGUACCUGACACAUACUCAUCCCGAUAUAACUUAUGCAGUGGGCAAAGUUAGCACGUAUAUGGAGAAGCCUGCGGCAGAUCAUUUGGCUGCUGUUAAGCACAUCCUGCGGUACAUAAAAGGUACGCUGAAUCUUUGUUGUUUCUAUGGAAGAGAAGAAGGAAUUACCAUGCAGCUGUGUGGAUGCAGUGAUAGUGAUCAUGGUGGUGAUGUGGACGAUCGAAAGAGCACCUCUGGAGUAAUAUUCUACCUCAACUUGAGCCCUGUGAGUUGGACAUCGCAGAAGCAGAAAGUAGUUGCGACAUCUUCUUGUGAAGUAGAGUAUGUUGCUGCUGCUUCGAACACCUCUCAGGCAGUGUGGCUGAGCAGAUUGGUUGCAAGUCUGACAGGAGAUGAGGCGAAUCAGGUGACACUGAAGGUGGACAACCAGUCGGCUAUUGCAUUAAGCAAAAACCCGGUGCACCACCAAAGGAGCAAACAUAUUGAUAUUAUGUACCAUUAUGUUCGUGAAUGUGUCGAGAAUGGAACCAUAGCAGUUGAACAUGUGCACACAGUUGAUCAGCUAGCUGAUGUGUUGACGAAGCCACUUGGAAAGCUGAAGAUUUUGGAGCUCAGAGACAGAAUUGGGAUGCGCACACUUGAGCAGAUACUACAAGGUUAA